rnacentral:rRNA from 1 species
AUUGAACGCUGGCGGCAGGCCUAACACAUGCAAGUCGAACGGUAACAGGAAACAGCUUGCUGUUUCGCUGACGAGUGGCGGACGGGUGAGUAAUGUCUGGGAAACUGCCUGAUGGAGGGGGAUAACUACUGGAAACGGUAGCUAAUACCGCAUAACGUCGCAAGACCAAAGAGGGGGACCCUCGGGCCUCUUGCCAUCGGAUGUGCCCAGAUGGGAUUAGCUUGUUGGUGGGGUAACGGCUCACCAAGGCGACGAUCCCUAGCUGGUCUGAGAGGAUGACCAGCCACACUGGAACUGAGACACGGCCCAGACUCCUACGGGAGGCAGCAGUGGGGAAUAUUGCACAAUGGGCGCAAGCCUGAUGCAGCCAUGCCGCGUGUAUGAAGAAGGCCUUCGGGUUGUAAAGUACUUUCAGCGGGGAGGAAGGGAGUAAAGUUAAUACCUUUGCUCAUUGACGUUACCCGCAGAAGAAGCACCGGCUAACUCCGU